AGAGUUUGAUUCUGGCUCAGAACGAACGCUGGCGGCGUGGAUAAGACAUGCAAGUCGAACGGGAGAAUUGCUAGCUUGCUAAUAAUUCUCUAGUGGCGCACGGGUGAGUAACACGUGAGUAACCUGCCUCUUAGUGGGGGAUAGCCCUGGGAAACCGGGAUUAAUACCGCAUACGAUUGAAAGAUCAAAGCAGCAAUGCGCUAGGAGAUGGGCUCGCGGCCUAUUAGUUAGUUGGUGAGGUAACGGCUCACCAAGGCGAUGACGGGUAGCCGGUCUGAGAGGAUGUCCGGCCACACUGGAACUGAGACACGGUCCAGACACCUACGGGUGGCAGCAGUCGAGAAUCAUUCACAAUGGGGGCAACCCUGAUGGUGCGACGCCGCGUGGGGGAAUGAAGGUCUUCGGAUUGUAAACCCCUGUCAUGUGGGAGCAAAUUAAAAAGAUAGUACCACAAGAGGAAGAGACGGCUAACUCUGUGCCAGCAGCCGCGGUAAUACAGAGGUCUCAAGCGUUGUUCGGAAUCACUGGGCGUAAAGCGUGCGUAGGCUGUUUCGUAAGUCGUGUGUGAAAGGCAGGGGCUCAACCCCUGGAUUGCACAUGAUACUGCGAGACUAGAGUAAUGGAGGGGGAACCGGAAUUCUCGGUGUAGCAGUGAAAUGCGUAGAUAUCGAGAGGAACACUCGUGGCGAAGGCGGGUUCCUGGACAUUAACUGACGCUGAGGCACGAAGGCCAGGGGAGCGAAAGGGAUUAGAUACCCCUGUAGUCCUGGCAGUAAACGGUGCACGCUUGGUGUGCGGGGAAUCGACCCCCUGCGUGCCGGAGCUAACGCGUUAAGCGUGCCGCCUGGGGAGUACGGUCGCAAGAUUAAAACUCAAAGAAAUUGACGGGGACCCGCACAAGCGGUGGAGUAUGUGGCUUAAUUCGAUGCAACGCGAAGAACCUUACCUGGGCUUGACA
rnacentral:rRNA from 1 species